UCAGGUUUUUAUUUAUCAUGAUCCCCACACUGUUCAACUAGAUUAUUAGUUGUUAAGUGCCCCACAAAAAAAAAAAAAAAUUAGCGGACUAAAGGUCUUCUGACUGCAACUUGGGUCUGGUGGUGGGUUUUGUUAAAAUCUUUUUUUUUUCCCUUUUUCAGUCCAACAUAAAUGAGGAAGAAAAAAAUACUUGUGACAUUUCCAAAUAACAGAAGUAAAUAGCAAAGUAUAUUAAUAUACAUUCAACAUAUACUGCGCGUAUUGGUUACUACAAUACAAAGCAAUGAUUAAAAAAAAAAGUGUGGUAUAAGAGAUGGCACGAUUAAUAAACUCACUGGCUUUUAUCUGGAUUUGCUAGAGGGGAGCAGUUUGCUUUCCCAGAAAUACAGUAUCAUGUAAACAAAACAGAGUGGGGGUUGGGGAAAGGGGAGUAAGGAAGAGAGGGAAUUCAAGAGACAGAAACAGAUAUGGAAAAGUUAAACACGCUUUCAGUGUUUUCUUGGUACCCUCCUGCUGGGCAGGCAAAGAAGUCACAAUUAGAAUAGAGACUGGGAGCUCACUACCGGACAGGUCAAAGACAUGGGAUGUGGGAGAGACCCAAAGCAGCUCCCCAUGCUGGAGGAAUUCAUCAGUGGGAGAUCUUGCUCAGGCUCCAGCGUGUCCAACGUUCGUUUUCCGACUGAAGACUGAUUCAGUGCUGGCUAAAGGUGUGUGGGCAGGGGCCGAGGUUUGCGCUCUGAGGUGGGGGUGAGGAGAGGUAACCUGUCGGCAGCAUGCAGCGGCCAUGCUGGUCUCACAUUUCCUUCUGUGCAAAUUCGAGAAAAAUUCUUAGGAGAUUAGGGAUGUUUUUGUGGAAAAAAUAAAAGGAUCUAGAGUCAAGUCCCAUUAAAAAAAACACCCCCCCCCAAAAAAAAACCCCAACAAAAAACCCAACAACUAAUGUUCAAAAGGAGACAAGUCCACAUAUUCUCCCAGCCCCCGCCAGUGGAGAAGGCUUUGGUUUCUAAUAGUAAAGCACACACAAGAGGAGAAGGACAGAUGAGAGUCAUGGUGUAUGUACUGCAUCCGCAAGGGGGAAGGAGACCACAACAUGUGUCACCCGCACCAGUAAGAAGUGCUCACAAUUACAGUGUCAUUAAAAGGAAAUAAAAUACUUUUGAACAAAGGUGCAAGUCACAAUUCAAAUAGAACAGAAUCUAGUUAAACAUUUCUCUUUUAAACAGAAAUUCCUUUUGUCUUUAUUAAUAAUAAUAACAAUAAUAAUAAUAAUAACAAUAACAACAUUUACCAAAAACAAUUCCUACAUGAUCAAGAAGAAAAAGGGGGCUGAGGAUGAUGGGAGGUAGGGAGUAAGGAAGGAUCCAAAAGAACCUCCUGUUCUUGCUGUGGCAAGGAGGCUGGAGGGAGGGCAAAGUUUGAAAGGAAAAGGUAAAUAUAUAUGUAUAUACAUUAUAUAUAUGGGAAAACAAUCCUUUUAGCGCAAUUAAAAAAAAAGAUGCCACAAAAAGCAGAUUGCACCACUCUUGGGUGUUCUGUCUGUGGAUAGAAGGGAUGGUUUACCAAGGCAACCAGCUCUGGAGGUGACAAGAGGGGUUCUGUGUGCCACAAACAUGCCCCCCUGAAGAAGGGGAAGUGAGACUUAUCUUGCUUCAGGCUACUCCCAGCCUCAAUACUAAGAUUUGGGUAGGACUUUGGCUUUCUGUUAAUAGCCUUGCCAGACUGGGCAAAUCUUUUCAGCAGAUCUCAGCAGGGAAAACUCAUAGGGUCCUGACUGAGGGUCUCUUAAACUUUAUUUAUUGCUUGCCAAUGCUAGAUUCCACCCCAUUCCCCCUUUCCAUCCAUUCCCUGAUGUGUAGACUGUAGAGGCAGCUGCCCUCCAUAUUUGUUCCUGGCAUCCAACGAUGCUGGCAAGGAUGAGGGGGCUUCUUGGAGGACUGCUUUGGGUGGUGGCUCAGAGACCCUAGGCGUCCAUCCACACCCCAAUCAUCUCUCCUAUCUAGAGCCUCCAAAGAAAACACAAAACCAAAUGCACUUUUUGCCAAAAGCGGAGAACUCUCAUUUCCCAUUUAUUUCCUCGGCGACUCGGUCAUACAGGCAAACAUGGUAGAACACCCUCUGAACCCCAAGGAACAGCACACUGAUGGACUGGAUAGGAGGAAAGGAGCUGUGAUAUUCCAGCUGGGCAAAAAUACAAUGGC
ensembl:lncRNA